rnacentral:misc_RNA from 1 species
GGAAGUAAAAGUCGUAACAAAGUCUCCGUAGGUGAACCUGCGGAGGGAUCAUUACAGAGUUCAUGCCCUACCGGGUAGAUCUCCCACCCUAUGUUAUUAUUACCUUGUUGCUUUGGCGGGCCGUUAGGCUCCGGCCCGACUACCGGCCCCGGCUGGUAAGCGCCCGCCAGAGGACCCAAAACCCUGAAUAUUAGUGUCGUCUGAGUACUAUAUAAUAGUUAAAACUUUCAACAACGGAUCUCUUGGUUCUG